GCCAAGCAUGGUGACACAGGCCUAUAGUCCCAGCUACUUGAGAGGCUGAGAUGGGAGGAUCACUUAAGUCCACAAGUUCUGAGCUAUAGUGUGCUAUGCUGAUCAGGUGCCCGCACUAAGUUUGACCUCCUGUGAGCAAGGGGCCACCAGGUUGCCUAAGGAGGGGUGAACUGGCCCAGGUCAAACAUGGAACAGGUCAAAACUCAUGUGCUGAUUGGUACUGGGAUUGCGCCUAUAAAUAGCCACUACAUUCCAGCCUGUAAAAUAUAGUGGGAGG
ensembl:misc_RNA Metazoa_SRP Metazoan signal recognition particle RNA